rnacentral:tRNA from 1 species
UUGGGGGUUUAGCUCAGUGGUAGAGCGCUUGCCUAGCAAGCACAAGGCCCUGGGUUCGGUCCCCAGCUCCGAAA